UUAAGAGAACAGCCAAGGAUGUUGUUGAUGGGCAGCGUACAGCUGGAUCCCACACGGUACAUUCCUGCAUAAAAGAUUUAUGCUGAAGAUCUGACUGUGCAGUUGUUGUGAGUUCUGUUGGCAAGAAAUACAUGUUUACAGCUUUAGAUCAGCCACCUAGUUUCAUAGAUGGAAAUUUGACCUAAAAACAUCCCAUGAAGAGUUCCAAUCUGCGUACUCUGUCUCCCAAAAGGAUUUCAGGUUCCCCUGUGGAUAACAACCAUUGCUAAGUGCACAAGGAUAAGCUGAAUUUUGAUAAAGCUUUUUUAAUUUUACCGAAGCAAAGUACUUGGGGGGUUGUUUUCAUCUCAGAAGGUGAGGGCAGUAGGGCUCACAAAAGCUGGUUUGCCAGGGAGGGAAGAGCCAACAAAUGACAUGCAAAUGCCAGUGCAGCUGUGGAUACCAGCCACGUGUCUGUGUCCCCCCAGGAGCUUUUUGUACAUCGUUAGGGAGUGUGUCCCAGGGUGGCAGCAUGGCUCUAAUUCCACUGACCUUGUGGGUUUUUUUCAUUAUUGCUGUUAUUUUGGAGGAGUUGGAAUUGCGCCUUUGGCACUGGGAAGCUCCCAGACUUACCCACUUACCAGUUUGUGAAACUCUGCCCAGAGAACACCCUAGAUCCAUGUAUUUUUUUAAACUCUGCUGUUUCCUAGACCAGCCACUGGCACUGGGGACCCCUCGGGCAGCAGAGAGGCUGAUGUUGCUCUUAAAUCCCCCCUCUUGCCUGACCAUGUCGAGCAGGGAGCUGUGACCCUCAGGACACCACCCAACGCCGUUGGGUUUCAUGACACAAUUAUCACUCCACACUUGCAGAACAUCUUCCAUCUUCUGUACAUCUUCUUCUGUAAUUUUGAUUAGUUCUCUCCUUCCCAAACUGCGUACUGGCGUGAGCAGUUGAUGCAGAUAAUGACAGAUUCUAAAUGGUGGGAUAAUUUGUAGAACAAUACAUUAUUGACAUACUCAAUAGAAUAUAUUACUCAUUUGUUAUCAUUAUACAUUGCGCCAUCUCAGAUUAAAGCUGGAAUAAAAGAGCUUGAUUGAUGUUACCUUCUUCCUUUAAAUGUAAUUCUGCCCUACAAUAUUAACCAAAAAAAUCAGAUCUUUUCUCUCAUCAGGUCUUUUUUAAGCCUGAAAAACCUCGUUUCUAGGGAACACAAAUAAAAAUGUGAGGCAGGUGCCAGCAGAAGAGGUGACAGGCUUUGCUUGUGUGGCAGGUUUUGUACAGGACCAGCAGCCAGCCCCACGUGAACGUGCUGAACACGGACAGGACCACGGCUGAGCUCUGGCUCCAGUUUAAUGAUGAUUACAUCAUAGAAGUAAAAGCAACGAGUGAUGGCGGAGAUGGCAGCAGCAGCGACCAGAUCCUGAUUCCCAGACUGGCCAGUAUGGAUGCAAGAGGUUCUGGUCUAUCAGUCUUGAACAUCUUCAGCGUGUCCAGCUUCCUACUGACAAUCCUUUCCUUGACUCUUCAUUCAGUGUUGUGAUGAUACAUUUGCAUUUGCUGGGGGAAAGAAAAAAAGAAUUGGUUACUACAGAAAAGUGCUUUUUUAAAAAAAAAAAACUGCAGUGGUUAAUGCAUGUUUUUCUUCUAUCCUGACGUGUUUUUAAAUUCUUUAUAUUUCACUGUAGGUUGAAGUAAAAAUAUCAUAUAAAGUUUAGCAAAUCCUUUAAAAAGGAAUCUAAAAUGCCUUAAUACUUGAACCAAAGGAGUUUACAUAUUACAUACUUCAGAUACAAUGUAAGAGGGGGAGAGCAAUGGUACUGGGAUGGGAGUUACAUAAAGCUUAGCUCAGUGAGAAACUCCAUUUUUGCAGUGACACUGAAUUCUUUGGGGUAGGUCCUGCCUUGUUCCUAUAACAUUCUGCAUAAUGGAGGUGAAAGCAGAGCCGUGGCAUUUCGGCCGGAUGGUAACACCUCGACCAAGGGGCUGCUCUUAGGACAGUGUCAUCAUCCGGUAGGUUUGCACUCGUUUUCUUACUGCCCUUUAGAGAAGUUAUUAUAAAUCUAGCAAGAAAUCAAAGAAAAGUCACAGUAUAGAUGUUAGUUUUGCACCGUCCAUCUUGGGGUGUCCAAGAGGCUUCCACUCUUAGGAACUGAUUUCCCAGCCGUGUUUCAAAGAAAGCUCUCUGUUCCUUUUCAGACACCUGCCCUUCCUCUCCAUCAAUAGAUUUAGAAGUUAAUUUCCUAAUAUCUCCUAUUCUUAUAUUUCUUAACCAGGUUCUUUGUUCAUAAUCAAGUUCUCCCACCUUCAGCAUCAUUUUUGUUGCCCUUCUCUGAGCUCCUGUCAGUGUUCCACUAACAAAAGUGCCCAGUGGGAAGCAUUAUAGAAAUGCAGUUGCACCAUGGCCUUAUGAAAGGGGACUCCUGCCACCUCCCUGCCCUGUCACGUGGGGCUUCCAGUUAUGCAGCCCCAAAUUAUCUUGCUCUUUUAUCUGCCACACUGCUCUGUAAACUCACCCUUAAUUCAGUGUUACGUUCGUAAUUCUCCUUCCUGCUGCUCUUUAACCAAUUCAAAACUUAAUGUACCCCGUUACUGUCAUAUGAGCCUGGUAAGUUUAUGGCAAUACUAUAGGUUAUAAUAAACAAAUUACACAAAACCACUUCAAGCUUGCUAUUAUAGAGAAAUCUAUGCUUUCUUUCAUAGCAAUAUGUUAAAGAUACAUUAAAUCUGGUACAUUUGACUUCUGCAGUUGUGACUUAAGUCAAAGUCAGCCUUUUAGACACCCUUUAGAGAGCUGCCCACAGUAGAGCAAGUGUUCAUGUGACAUAAAACAUAUCCUUCUAAAGAGGUUUGGUUUUUUUUAAUCUCACAGUAUUACCACAACACAGAAAUGUAAAGGGAGAGAACCAGGAUUCAUGAAAUGAUGGUAGCACUGUAGAAAAAAAUACCUUGAUAUGCAUUCAAAUAGCAAAUUACCUUAUUAGUAUCACAUCCAGAUGAAAGUACCUGCUAACUGUUGAAGUAAGCGAGAUCUGUAUAUACUGUACAUAAAUAGUUAUAAAUGGCUAGUUGCUUUUCAAUGUGGCUAACCAGUGAUGUUCUCAGACACUUGCAAAUGGGGGGGAGGGGGAGGGCGGGAGAUGGAAAACCAGGUGUUACUAGUAAAUAUAUAGUUAUGUUUCAUGCAACAAAGGGUGAAUCUUUCUAUUCUUGUUUCACAAAAUUCUAGUCCAUGUUCCUGUAUUGCCAUUUUCACGCAAUUACAUUGUAUUGUUUGAUUUCUAGUUAUAUAUCUCCAUGAGAUAUGUACCGAGUACUUUGUUUCAUAUUGAAAAGUUUGAAAUUUAUCCUUAAAACUUCCAGUUGUGUGUGUAUCCUAUGGUUAUCUGUAUGCAUUUUUUUCUAUUACUCUAAUAAAAUAUUUAUUACAUUGAGGGAUACUA